GUCUACGGCCAUACCACCCUGAACGCGCCUGAUCUCAUCAGAUCUCGGAAGCAAAGCAGGGGUCGGGCCUGGUUAGUACUUGGUUGGGAGACCACCUGGGAAUACCGGGUGCCAUAGGCU
rnacentral:rRNA from 1 species